UGUUCUCCAGGAGUGUAGAGUAUCACUGGUGUCUUGAUACUUCACAAUAUGUCAGACAAAAGAGUUUGCAAAGUCAUUGCCUUUUUAUGUCCGGAGGUACAAUUCCAAUUAAUGCAAAAGAGAAUACUGACAGACAACAACGAGUGUAUGAAUAACAAAUUUCCACGCCAGACAAACAUACUUGUAAUGAUGGAACCUUCAAUGUGCUAUCAUCAUUCAAUCUGACAAACAUUAAUUUCUCAUCAUGUUUUUGCAAGAUCAGACAGGAGAAGCAAAUGUACCUGCAGC